GCCUCUGUGGCUUUGCAAAUCAUACUGAUUCUUCUUCAUGUCUAAGCAGUUCAUUUCUUCCCAGACAUUGCAAAGUGGUUCUGGCUUGUUUGAUUGUGCUUAUGUGUUUUGUUCUCUUUCUUGUUCAAAUUUUGUACUGAAUAUACUGCAUUUCCCUUUUUCGUCUAAGGAAAAUUUGCACUCCAUUGCACAGUUAAGAAGCCUAAGAUGUUGCUUUAGAUGACUAUAAAUCUAAAAGCAUGUGUGUAAUUUUAACUGGGUUGAAUUGUUUUUUGUAAGCUACCAUUUCCCUCUUUUCUUAUAGAAUCGAAAGUUGUGAAAUAAAGCAGCAAUGAAAAUCAUGGCAAUUAGGUGGAAUUUGAUCAUCAUAUGGUUUGGUGAAAUUUUCAUUUCAAAAUACUGCCUUUCCUUCAAUGCUAGGUAACAGUGAGCUAAUCACCA
rnacentral:misc_RNA from 1 species